rnacentral:rRNA from 1 species
AGGACGAACGCUGGCGGCGUGCUUAACACAUGCAAGUCGAACGGUGAAGCCUUUCGGGGUGGAUCAGUGGCGAACGGGUGAGUAACACGUGGGCAAUCUGCCCUGCAUUCUGGGACAAGCCUUGGAACGAGGUCUAAUACCGGAUACGACGCAUCCCCGCAUGGGGUGUGCGUGGAAGCUCGGCGAUGCAGGAUGAGCCCGCGGCCUAUCAGCUUGUUGGUGGGUGAUGGCCUACCAAGGCGACGACGGGUA